UACACGUAAUGGUAAAUAUUAUGGCAUUUUAUCGUAAUCAUGGCAUUAUAAGGAAUAAUAAGUCAGCCAAAUUUCGUCUACAUCGAUAGGCAGAACUACCAAUGGGAACAGAAGGAUGUAUGAGAUUGUCCGCUAGUUUCGCUAUUAUAUUACAGGUUUGGUCCAACGUAAAUAACGGAUCAUUUUUAAUUCCUGAAACGGUCGAAAUUUGAUAUGUAUUUUCCAUGACAUCUGGUAGCUCUUGCUUU